rnacentral:lncRNA from 1 species
CACAUUUUUUUUUUCUCUUACAUCAAUGGGAAAAGAAUUUAGCUCACGGAAGGUACAAAGGCGUAUUUAAUAGAGAAAGGACAAAAAUGACAAAUAUCACUCUGGAAGAGAUGGAUUUUCUCUGAUUUGGGUGAAGUUGUAAAUCAUGUUACAGGCCACAGAAGACAACUUUUAAUGGGAAACCAAGGAAUACCUGUCAGAAAGGGAGGGAUGAAGAGGAGGGGACGACAGUAUGAUGAAAAACCUAUUGAGAGAGAUGCAUUGUCUAUAGCAAGGGUCGGCAACCUUUUAGAAACAGGACCAAAUUAAUGGCAGCUUGUUCCAAAGGUAGGUUGCUGUUUGUGACCUAGCACCAGUUUCUCAGCUGCUACCAUUGAAUUUCUGCCAAUUUCUCUUGCUGCCAAAU